AAAAAAACAACUCAUAAAAUUGAGAAUGGAAAUGGGGAAUGUGCCAAAGAGACAACAACCCGACCAUAGAAAAAAACAACAGCAGAAGGUCACCAACAGGUCUUCAAUGUAGCGAGAAAUUCCCGCACCCGGAGGCGUCCUUCAACUGGCCCCUAAACAAAUAUAUACUAGUUCAGUGAUAAUGAACGCCAUACUAAUUUCCAAAUUGUACACAAGAAACUAAAUUAAAAUAAUACAAGACUAACAAAGGCCAGAGGCUCCUGACUUGGGACAGGCGCAAAAAUGCGGCGGGGUUAAACAUGUUUGUGAGAUCUCAACCCUUCCCCUAUACCUCUAGCCAAUGUAGAAAAGUAAACGCAU
rnacentral:lncRNA from 1 species